rnacentral:rRNA from 1 species
GCUUGUCUCAAAGAUUAAGCCAUGCAUGUGUAAGUAUAAGUAUUAUACGGCGAAACUGCGAAUGGCUCAUUAAAACAGUUAUGAUUUAUUUGAUAAUCGAAAGUUACAUGGAUAACCGUGACAAAUUACAGCUAAUACAUGCACAAAGACCUGGUCCAAGGGUCGUAAUUAUUAGUACUAAACCAAUUCCGCAAGGAAUGUGAUGAAUCAUAGUAAUCGAACGAAUCGCAGGUACAUGCGAUAAAUCAUUCAAGUUUCUGCCCUAUCAGCUUUCGAUGGUAGUGUAUUGGACUACCAUGGCAGUCACGGGUAACGGAGAAUUAGGGUUCGGUUCCGGAGAGGGAGCCUGAGAAACGGCUACCACAUCUAAGGAAGGCAGCAGG